rnacentral:rRNA from 1 species
UGGGCAACCUGCCCCUGGCUCUGGGAUAACUCCAAGAAAUUGGGGCUAAUACCGGAUAUGACCGCUGACCGCAUGGUCUGGUGGUGGAAAGAUUUAUCGGCUGGGGAUGGGCCCGCGGUCUAUCAGCUUGUUGGUGGGGUAGUGGCCUACCAAGGCGACGACGGGUAGCCGGCCUGAGAGGGUGACCGGCCACACUGGGACUGAGACACGGCCCAGACUCCUACGGGAG